AUGAGGCCACACAGGGGCGUGGCAAAGGCAUCAGGUACGGGCAGGAGGUCACACAGGGGCGUGGUUUUCCAGUUCACAAAUCUGAUCAAUUUUAACCUGUAUGCCUGCCUACUUCAUCCCCACAGGGCCAGGCACCCAGGAGGGCCCAGCAAUCUGCGAGAUGCAAGAAUGAAUGAAGCGUACAGGAGUGAAGGAGGAGCCUGCCCUCAUGGGGGGUUCCUGGGCCAGGCCCUGGCCCUUUCUACCACCUGCUCUGUGAGUUUGGGCUUAGUGUCCGAGCCCGGGAAGCAGACACAUCAGCAAGCGGAGCCUUCCGACAGAAAAGCUUCUCCCAGACCCUUGACCCUCAGUGGUUCUGUUCCAGCCUCCAACCCCCCCCCCCCCCCGCCCGGGAGACUCUGGGUUAGGACAGUUCACAGGCACGUGGCAUCUAUUCUAUCUCAAAGUUUAAAAAGAAUAACAACACGUGAGGAAGAUCUGUCCAGUGCCACCAUCUGGCCGCAGCUGUUGCCUGCCCUGUGGAUGUCCUCGUCCUGUGAUGUCCACGUCCUAACCGAGCCUCGCCUAUCUCAGUCGGGCCCUUGUUCUCUGGAUGAACGCGGGCUCCCGUCUCUGCAACCAAGGGCAUGCCUUUGACUCUGUGGGAAUGGCCACCCCCUCACAUUCCCUCCAGCUGCUUCUGGGAGUCCCUGGGGAAUCUCUGCUUGGCCAGCAGCUUCUGAAACCUUAGUGGAGUGACUCUUCCUGUUUUGCUCACUUGUGACAGCGUCUCCCCUCCCCAGGGGUCAGGCCGAGGCGCAGGAGGGCUGCUCACGGGAGCGAUGCAUCCAUGCAUUGGGAAGGCGGAACAGCGGCAGGCACAGAGCAGGACGCGGGACACGGCAGUCCCUUCUGUGUGGGCGCCGCCCUCUCACGCUUACAACCCAGCAGGCGACCACUACGAGGAGAGUGCGAUGCAAUUUCAUACCCGUGACAGAUUGGAAAGGCCAGUAUUCUCAAGUGCCGGGGACGUGGGGAGACGGAGGUUCCCCAGCCCUGCUGCGGACAUGCGGAUUCUGGAAGUGACUGGGCGGGGUUUAGCAACGUUAACUCUGGGCUUGCGUCAUGAUCCAGCCAAGCCACUGUUUGGCUGUCAUCCCAGAAAGUCUCUCCCCAAUGUCCGCGAGACGACAUGGCAGGGGCGGUCACUGGAUCACAGGCAGAGAUCGCACUGAUCACUGGGUCAGUGGCCAACGUAGCAGAUCUGGGCUGGGUUACCGGGGGAGCCACAAGGAACAGCAGCCUCGAUGUGGGGUUGGCAGCGAGGGCAGAGAAAGCCCAACGCAGGACACAGAGCAAGACUCAGUUUUGGAAAGUUGCAACACACGCAAGGAACCCUUCAAAGAAAGUAUGCAAGAUACAUCCUUGUUCUGGGAGAGGGAAGACAUGAAAUCAAUCAGAAACCACCCAGAUCAGUUGUUGUGCCCUGGAGGUGAUGUUGGCUCAGCUCCCAGCACGCGGAGACAUCGCACACUGGCAAACUCCGGGGUCCAGUGCAGGUGCUCUGGGGGCCACCCCGGGCUGCUCUGCUUCGUGUUUUCCCUUCCAGCCUUGGUCCAGACCUCAAGCCAACGCUCCGUGUCCGGGUUCUCAUCAC
ensembl:lncRNA